GUUCCAUAGCAUACAAUAUAGCAAUAGUGGACAUGGCAUCUGCCCGGUAAGCGGAACACUAUGGGUUCGAUUCCCAUCCCUGAACA